rnacentral:tRNA from 1 species
GCGCCGCUAGCUCAACUGGCAGAGCAGCGGACUCUUAAUCCGCGGGUUCGGGGUUCGAGUCCCUGGCCACGCC